rnacentral:hammerhead_ribozyme from 1 species
ACUCAGCUGACGAAUGCCAGACGGGACGAAACGUGCGUCCUGAAU